UCAGGUGGACCUUCUCUAUGAUUGAAUUGUGAGAUCAUCAGCGGAGCAAACUACAUUUCUGGGCUUCUGUGAGGUCAUCUUUACAACAAAGCAUAUAUUGAAGAUAGAACGUCAGGAGUAGCUGACCCAAGACAGGUGGACCUUCUCUAUGAUUGAAUUGUGAGAUCAUCAGCGGAGCAAACUACAUUUCUGGGAUUCUGUGAGGUCAUCUUUACAACAAAGCAUAUAUUGAAGAUAGAACGUCAGGAGUAGCUGACCCAAGACAGGUGGACCUUCUUUAUGAUUGAAUUGUGAGAUCAUCAGCGGAGCAAACUACAUUUCUGGGAUUCUGUGAGGUCAUCUUUACAACAAAGCAUAUAUUGAAGAUAGAACGUCAGGAGUAGCUGACCCAAG